rnacentral:rRNA from 1 species
UACGAAGGGGGCUAGCGUUGCUCGGAAUCACUGGGCGUAAAGCGCACGUAGGCGGUUUGUUAAGUCGGAUGUGAAAUCCCUCGCUCAACUGAGGAAGUGCAUCCGAAACUGGCAGGCUUGAGUACUAAAGAGGGUCGCGGAAUUCCCGGUGUAGAGGUGAAAUUCGUAGAUAUCGGGAGGAACACCGGCGGCGAAGGCGGCGACCUGGGUAGAUACUGACGCUGAGGUGCGAAAGCGUGGGGAGCAAACAGGG